GAUGAACGCUAGCUACAGGCUUAACACAUGCAAGUCGCAGGGUAACAUGAGGAAAGCUUGCUUUCCUUGAUGACGACUGGCGCACGGGUGAGUAACGCGUAUCCAACCUUCCCAUAACUACGGGAUAACCCGUUGAAAGACGGCCUAAUACCGUAUGACAUCGUUUGCUGACAUCAAAUAACGAUUAAAGGUUUAGCGGUUAUGGAUGGGGAUGCGUCUGAUUAGCUUGUUGGCGGGGUAACGGCCCACCAAGGCGACGAUCAGUAGGGGUUCUGAGAGGAAGGUCCCCCACAUUGGAACUGAGACACGGUCCAAACUCCUACGGGAGGCAGCAGUGAGGAAUAUUGGUCAAUGGGCGAGAGCCUGAACCAGCCAAGUAGCGUGCAGGAUGACGGCCCUAUGGGUUGUAAACUGCUUUUAUGUGGGGAUAAAGUGCGUGACGUGUCAUGCAUUGCAGGUACCACAUGAAUAAGGACCGGCUAAUUCCGUGCCAGCCGCCGCGGUAAAAC
rnacentral:rRNA from 1 species